GGAGUCAGCCGGGCGGUCGCGGUGGUGUCGCGUCAGCGAGACCACGGAGGAAAGUCCGGGCUCCACAGGGCAGGGUGCCAGGUAACGCCUGGGGGGCGCGAGCCCACGGAAAGUGCCGCAGAAAACAUACCGCCGAUGGCCUUCGGGCACAGGCAAGGGUGAAAAGGUGCGGUAAGAGCGCACCGCGCCGCUGGCAACAGCGUGUGGCAGGGUAAACCCCACCCGGAGCAAGGCCAAAUAGGGGAGCGUGCAUGCCUCGUGCAUGCGAUGUGCGGCCCGCACAUGUUCCCGGGUAGGCUGCUUGAGGUGGACGGCGACGUCCAUCCCAGAGGAAUGACCGUCCUCGACAGAACCCGGCUUACAGGCUGGCUCUGAAA
rnacentral:RNase_P_RNA from 1 species